AUUGAACGCUGGCGGCAGGCCUAACACAUGCAAGUCGAGCGGGGUUUUCGGACCUAGCGGCGGACGGGUGAGUAAUGCGUAGGAAGCUACCCGAUAGAGGGGGAUACCAGUUGGAAACGACUGUUAAUACCGCAUAAUGUCUACGGACCAAAGUGUGGGACCUUCGGGCCACAUGCUAUCGGAUGCGCCUACGUGGGAUUAGCUAGUUGGUGAGGUAAUGGCUCACCAAGGCGACGAUCCCUAGCUGGUUUGAGAGGAUGAUCAGCCACACUGGAACUGAGACACGGGCCAGACACCUACGGGAGGCAGCAGUGGGGAAUAUUGGACAAUGGGCGCAAGCCUGAUCCAGCCAUGCCGCGUGUGUGAAGAAGGCCUUCGGGUUGUAAAGCACUUUCAGUAGGGAGGAAGCGUUGUGUGUUAAUAGUACACAGCGUUGACGUUACCUACAGAAGAAGCACCGGCUAACUCUGUGCCAGCCGCCGCCGUAAGAC
rnacentral:rRNA from 1 species